rnacentral:rRNA from 1 species
GAUGAACGCUGGCGGCGUGCCUAAUACAUGCAAGUCGAGCGAACAGACGAGGAGCUUGCUCCUCUGACGUUAGCGGCGGACGGGUGAGUAACACGUGGAUAACCUACCUAUAAGACUGGGAUAACUUCGGGAAACCGGAGCUAAUACCGGAUAAUAUAUUGAACCGCAUGGUUCAAUAGUGAAAGACGGUUUUGCUGUCACUUAUAGAUGGAUCCGCGCUGCAUUAGCUAGUUGGUAAGGUAACGGCUUACCAAGGCAACGAUGCGUAGCCGACCUGAGAGGGUGAUCGGCCACACUGGAACGGAGACACGGUCCAGACUCCUACGGGAGGCAGCAGUAGGGAAUCUUCCGCAAUGGGCGAAAGCCUGACGGAGCAACGCCGCGUGAGUGAUGAAGGUCUUCGGAUCGUAAAACUCUGUUAUUAGGGAAGAACAAAUGUGUAAGUAACUAUGCACGUCUUGACGGUACCUAAUCAGAAAGCCACGGCUAACUACGUG